rnacentral:snRNA from 1 species
AAGUACCGCGAGGUAAAG